rnacentral:snRNA from 1 species
AGCCCCGCAGUGAGCACAAAGCAAACUAUUCUUUCGCCUUUUAUUAAAGAAUACCGUAUGCGCGCUGCAUUCAGUGACAUAUGCCUAUUUUUGGAGGGGUUCUCUUCUUUGAGUUCC